rnacentral:rRNA from 1 species
GACGAACGCUGGCGGCGUGCUUAACACAUGCAAGUCGAACGGAAAGGCCCUGCUUUUGUGGGGUGCUCGAGUGGCGAACGGGUGAGUAACACGUGAGUAACCUGCCCUUGACUUUGGGAUAACUUCAGGAAACUGGGGCUAAUACCGGAUAGGAGCGCCUGCUGCAUGGUGGGGGUUGGAAAGUUUCGGCGGUUGGGGAUGGACUCGCGGCUUAUCAGCUUGUUGGUGGGGUAGUGGCUUACCAAGGCUUUGACGGGUAGCCGGCCUGAGAGGGUGACCGGCCACAUUGGGACUGAGAUACGGCCCAGACUCCUACGGGACGCAGCAGUGGGGAAUAUUGCACAAUGGGCGGAAGCCUGAUGCAGCAACGCCGCGUGCGGGAUGACGGCCUUCGGGUUGUAAACCGCUUUCGCCUGUGACGAAGCGUGAGUGACGGUAAUGGGUAAAGAAGCACCGGCUAACCACGUG